UGGNAACAGGGANGAAGGAGGGGAUGACUUCAGGUCGGUAUUGCCCUUACGUCUGGGGCUACAAACACGNUACAAUGGCCGGUACAAAGGGCAGCCAAGUCGCGAGACGGAGCAAAUCCCAUCAAAACCGGUCUCAGUUCGGAUAGCAGGCUGAAACUCGCCUGCUUGAAGUCGGAAUCGCUAGUAACGGUAGGUCAGNUAUACUACCGUGAAUACGUUCCCGGGUCUUGUACACACCGCCCGUCAAACCAUGAAAGUCGCCAA
rnacentral:rRNA from 1 species